rnacentral:lncRNA from 1 species
CAGUUUACAUUGCCCACAACUUCCUCGUUCCAUUUCUUUAAGUCCCAUUUCAAGGCCUUUAGCUUCUGAUCCAAAACAAAAUUGGGAGACCCCCUGACUUCAUAAGAUGUCCACCAAGUCUGUACUUGCUCCCUAAAACCUUCUACUUUCAACCACAUCUUCUCAAACUUAAAAGACCUUCUUCUACCACCCCUCCUAUUCCCAGAUAACAUUAUAGGGAAAUGAUCUAAGUACACACUCUCCAAUCUUUUCUGAGUGACAUCUGAGUAUUUGGACUCUCACUCCCCACAAAUCAAGAACCUAUCUAUACGAGACAAGAUGGGUUGGUCUCGAUUAGAUGAUCAGGUAAAAUCUCCCCCAAUCAUAGGUAAAUUCACCAACAAAUUCUCCCUAAUAAAAUCUAAGAACUCCUCCAUUGCCCUAGUUAGUCUCCCACCACUUGGCCUCUCAAAGGAAAUUGAAUCACAUUGAAAUCACCCCCAAUACAUGUUGGGAGAUUCCACCAAGCCAUCAUUCCAGCAAAUUCAUCCCACAAGCCCACUCUGCUGUCAUCAGAAUUAGGCCCAUAAACUCCUGUGAACAUCCACCGAAAUCCAUCCUCACAAUUUUUAAAAGAUAUCGAUAUAGAGAACACCCCUAUUCUUACCUCCUCCAUCUCAAGCACUCUAGUGUCCCACAUCACCAACAAGCCUCCUGAUACCCUGAUGACCCCCAAAAACCAAUACCCUACAUGUUUUCCCCCUAUAAGCUACUAAUCACCAUCCCUCGAGAUGAACUCUAUCUUAGUUUCUUGUAAGCAUACAAGGUUUGCCCCCAUCUCCUAAGCAGAUGUUGAACACCAAGGCUUUUUCCAACCUCAUUGAGCCCCUGUACAUUUGAGCUAAUGAGUUUCGGCCUCAUUUUAACACUCCAUGAACCCUUCCCAUUAUUCAUUUCUAGGACUCGCUACCCUUACCAGCAUAAUUUACUGACCAUUCAAGCCUCUUAAGUUAGCGAUCGCCUUUCUUCUUAAUUUACCUCCAUGUGUACUGAUCCCUUGUCCCCUAUUAGCCUCCAGCUCCUCGAAUAAUUGUAGCAGUCUACUUUCAUAUCCAUCACAGGACACGCCAACCAACUUACUAAAUUCCUAAAUUGUUUGUAGAACCCAGUUCGAAGGUGGGAGUUCAACUUUAAACACAUUAGCUUCCGAAAUUUCCUCUCCGUGAUAGCCCUCCAGAUGAUCAAAGGACCCUCCUUUCUCU